GGGAUUAGAUACCCCACUAUGCACAGCCCUAAACUUUGAUAGUUAAGUACACCCACUAUCCGCCCGGGUACUACAAGCCCUAGCUUAAAAUCCAAAGGACUUGGCGGUGCUUUAGAUCCACCUAGAGGAGCCUGUCCUAGAACCGACAACCCCCGUUAAACCUCACCCUCCCUUGUUUAUUUCCCGCCUAUAUACCGCCGUCGUCAGCUUACCCUGUGAAGGAUUAAUAGUAAGCAAAGCCAGCACAGCUCAAAACGCCAGGUCGAGGUGUAGCGCAUGAGAGGGGAAGAGAUGGGCUACAUUCCCUAACCCAGGUAAUACGAAAAAUGCAAUGAAAAAAGCAUUAGAAGGAGGAUUUAGCAGUAAGAAGAAAACAGAGUGUUCUACUGAAACUGGCCCUGAAGCGCGCACACACCGCCCGUCACCCUCAA
rnacentral:rRNA from 1 species